rnacentral:tRNA from 1 species
GGGGUAUUAGCUCAGAUGGGAGAGCGCCUGCCCUGCAAGCAGGAGGUCAGCAGUUCGAUCCUGCUAUACUCCACCA